rnacentral:lncRNA from 1 species
CUAGGAGCAGGAAUUAGCUUCAAAAGAAAGCCUGUAGGGCACAAUGCCUAUGUUAUAUAGGUACCAAGCUGAAGUUGGAGAGGAAAGGAAAGCUCUUCCUGAAAAUGCAGUAGUGCUGGAAUGUGCUGUAGAGACUCAGAUUGUUUUUCAGCUCUAGAGGCAUGUAUGGGAAUGUAGCAACAAUGAGGAGACUUGGACCCAGCACAGAGGAGUCUGAACAACAGAAGUUUGUUGGAGACUGGCAAAUACCUGUCCUAGCAGCUAGUUGGCUGAUUUGUCUUCACUUUGGUCCAAACACAGGUGUUUGUUGAAGUCAGUAGAUAAUGAAACUUCCACUGGAAAUGCUGCAAGUAGUUCACAGAUAUCACUUGUAGCAUGAGUAAAGUGAAAC